CGCAUGCGCCAGUGCCAGCUGCAAGGCACCUCCCGGCAGACCUGAGAGCAAGCAGCCUUGCGCAGCCGCAAACCUGCAAGAAACCAUGGUUACCACUCUGCACCCUCAGGCUCAACAGCAGCGUGCCCAGCAGGCCCCCUAGUGUGCAAAGCUUUCUCCUAGAUUGUAAAUCUGAACGUCACCCGCAAACUGCUUUACCAGCAAUUCCUUGUUAUGGGGGGGAGGAGAGGAAAAAAAUGACCCCUGUGGUGAUCUGAUAAGACGAUUUCCUAAGACACCUUCACAAACACCUACGGUCUUGGUCACCUCAUGACAAGUCUUGGCUAUGGUAUUUGUUGAAUCUCAGCAUUAUCGUUCGUCAGGAGGGCACGGGAGCCACAUGAUCAGUUACCUACUCAUUCGCAACUCAGAAGACAGGAAUUCAAGGGCCUAUGGAUACUUCUUUGCUCUCUGCAAGUAUCCGACCACCGGGAACGGAUCUCACCGUUUACUGAGGGCCAGGGCGGAGGCUCCCAGUCUAGGAAGUGACCCAGCCCACACCAGAAGCCAGAGCCUGACUCCCGCUCAAAACAGCUAGGUGGUGUAUUGUGGCCAUAUUGCAGGCAGACAGCAAAAGUUAAACCCAAAGGAGAAAAGGAGGUGAAGAGAGAUGAAGAACGAAUAUUUGAGGGGAUGGAGGAAAACGUACACAAAACGUUUCAGCUUAUUGGAUGGAUCACUCAAACUCUGACAGAAACAAAGAACCACAUGGGGAAGAAGGAAAAAGCAGCAAUGUGCACCCCAAAAAUAUUUUUUUCUGCUUCUUCUCCUACAUGAAUGUUCUAGCUCGCGCUAUUCUAAGAUCCAAAGAACACCAGCAGACCUUACUAUAAAAUUUGGACUGGAGGGACAAGGGGGUAGGGGCAACAUAAAAAAGAAAAAUCAAAAAAGCCAGCUGUCACCUGAAGGGAGGAAAGGUACAGCGAUAACAGAACCUUCAGGCAGCCACUCUGCUGGAGGACAAGAUGGGCAGCCCGGCCUUCCUAAGAGUGACCACACACUGGCUUACACCGGCUGCUUCCAGAAAAAGAGCGAACACUGACUGCAGGGAAAAGGGGCCACCAGCCCCAAGGACACGAAGAGACAGCACAUCACAUGCUAACGGCAUGCUACGCCAUUCAGGACUGUGUUUCUCCAACGAUCCAGCAAAGAAUGAGCUGUGAUUUGGGGAGGGGGAUUUCCAAUCUGCUGUGCGAUAUUUUUGAAUAAUAAAAUAAGACCGCCCC